rnacentral:lncRNA from 1 species
UGUUCGUGCCUGAGCAUUCAGGUUGCUCAUACAUAACUGAAAACAUUUAAUUUAAGCAAGGUUGAGCAUUUGAGUGCCCAACAAGUAAUAGCAAUUAUAUAUAUAAGCUGAAAGAAUAUAAGUAUUCUCCUUACAUAACACUUCUACAACGAAUCAAAAGUUGUGAAGUAAUCUGUACUGAUAAAAAAUUCACAUAACAACUCUCUUCCAAAUUAUUUAAAUUUGGCUCUGGCUCUACCCAUGAACAGGGUUUAAGAAACAUACUAUGAAUAUUGUUUUUCAUUUUCGAAAAGGUUUAGCAGAAAUUCAUCCGCAAACCGCUCUAGCUUACGGGUACGGAGGGUGAUCAGCCCCAUUGUACCCUGUAUUGAUCAAUACUACAUAAC